rnacentral:rRNA from 1 species
CGGGGAGGUAGUGACGAAAAAUAACGAUACGGGACUCAUCCGAGGCCCCGUAAUCGGAAUGAGUACACUUUAAAUCCUUUAACGAGGACCAAUUGGAGGGCAAGUCUGGUGCCAGCAGCCGCGRUAAUUCCAGCUCCAAUAGCGUAUAUUAAAGUUGUUGCGGUUAAAAAGCUCGUAGUUGAAUCUGUGUGUCACAGUGUCGGUUCACCGCUCGCGGUGUUUAACUGGCAUUAUGUGGUACGUCCUACCGGUGGGCUUAGCUCCUCGCGGGCGGUCCAACUAAUAUCCCAUCGCGGUGCUCUUUACUGAGUGUCGAGGUGGGCCGGUACGUUUACUUUGAACAAAUUAGAGUGCUCAAAGCAGGCUACCUUCGCCUGAAUACUCUGUGCAUGGAAUAAUGGAAUAGGACCUCGGUUCUAUUUUGUUGGUUUUCGGAACCCCGAGGUAAUGAUUAAUAGGGACAGAUGGGGGCAUUCGUAUUGCGACGUUAGAGGUGAAAUUCUUGGAUCGUCGCAAGACGGACAGAAGCGAAAGCAUUUGCCAAAAAUGUUUUCAUUAAUCAAGAACGAAAGUUAGAGGUUCGAAGGCGAUCAGAUACCGCCCUAGUUCUAACCAUAAACGAUGCCAGCUAGCGAUCCGCCGAAGUUCCUCCGAUGACUCGGCGGGCAGCUUCCGGGAAACCAAAGCUUUUGGGUUCCGGGGGAAGUAUGGUUGCAAAGCUGAAACUUAAAGGAAUUGACGGAAGGGCACCACCAGGAGUGGAGCCUGCGGCUUAAUUUGACUC